ACUUCUGCCGGCGAGUGGCGAACGGGUGAGUAAUGCAUUGGAACGUACCGGGUAAUGGGGGAUAACUUGCCGAAAGGUAAGCUAAUACCGCAUACGCUCUUAGGAGGAAAGCGGGGGAUCGUUUGACCUCGCGUUAUCCGAGCGGCCAAUGUCUGAUUAGCUAGUUGGUGGGGUAAAAGCCUACCAAGGCAACGAUCAGUAGCGGGUCUGAGAGGAUGAUC
rnacentral:rRNA from 1 species